GGAUUGGUGCCUUCGGGAACUGUGAGACAGGUGCUGCAUGGCUGUCGUCAGCUCGUGUUGUGAAAUGUUGGGUUAAGUCCCGCAACGAGCGCAACCCUUAUCCUUUGUUGCCAGCGGUUAGGCCGGGAACUCAAAGGAGACUGCCAGUGAUAAACUGGAGGAAGGUGGGGAUGACGUCAAGUCAUCAUGGCCCUUACGACCAGGGCUACACACGUGCUACAAUGGCGCAUACAAAGAGAAGCGACCUCGCGAGAGCAAGCGGACCUCAUAAAGUGCGUCGUAGUCCGGAUUGGAGUCUGCAACUCGACUCCAUGAAGUCGGAAUCGCUAGUAAUCGUAGAUCAGAAUGCUACGGUGAAUACGUUCCCGGGCCUUGUACACACCGCCCGUCACACCAUGGGAGUGGGUUGCAAAAGAAGUAGGUAGCUUAACCNUCGGGAGGCGCUACCANUU
rnacentral:rRNA from 1 species